AAUUAAUCAGCAAAUCAAGAAUGUGCCCUUGUUAUUGACUGCAGAUAUAUCGUUAGGUAAACUUUUUAACUUUGAAAGUAAAUGUAAUUAAACUCUACGAAUCCUAGGUGGAAAAGGAGAAGCUUAAUUAAUGGUUCAAGGUGCAUUGACCCUGGCACUACCUUUCCUUCCAUCCAGCUGGCUUUCAUGGGGUUCUGCAGAGUGACUCUGUAGGAUACACCUGCUGACUCACCUGGCCCAGGUAUUUUUCCCUCUUCGGCUUCCAUCUGCCUCUAGGGGAGGAAGGUGAUAGUCAAGACUGAGACAAGGUAUCAGGGUCAGUGCCCGCCAGCCAUGCUCCCUGUCUAUGGAGAAAGACCCAAGAAAAAGAUUUUGGCAUGGGAUGAAUGGGGUGACUUAGAUUGUUGUAGAAGAGCAAAUUGGAGCAGGGAAGAGAGGAGGAAGAGGAAGAAGAUGUGUUUGAGGAAUGCACAGGACAUCCAUGUAGAGAAACCUGUGGACAGUUGGCUCCAUGCAUCAGAACUUCAGGGUGAGUCCUAAGUCUCAUCUCGGCAGCAUCCAUCAUCACUCAGACUCAUCCUGUGCUGCUGAUUUCAUCCUGUAAGAUGGACUGGACUGGUCCUUCAUCCCAAAGCCUUGCUCUAUGUACUCUGGAAGGCCAGCAAAGUUUCCUGUAUCAUCAACACCUUCUCAAAACAUGCCUCUUCCUUCUGGACUUAGAUGGGCCCUCCUGUAGGGCCCCCUUUCCCUCAUAGCUCUCUCAAGUGGAGGCUGUUUUUAAUUUAUUUAUUUUUCCUGUAUCCAGCACAAGUUCUUUGGGGUCAGGAAGUGGGGUCUGUGUUUUUAAUUACGAUUUCCACAUUCCAGUCAUUUUUCCUGUAAGCCCCAGUGUCUCUGAGGAUUAUUCCGUCUGUCCCGCUUCCCCUCUUCCUCAUUGUUGUAAUUCACCAACAUCCUCAACACUUUCUGUCAUUCACCAAAGAAGGGAGCUCCUGUUUUCAGUCUUCUCCUGUCAACAUUAGCUUCAUUCUGAAUGAUUUUCUUGUCCAUAUGGAGGAAUCAUCGACCACUGUGGAUCCUCAUUUUCUUGACUUACUCAUCUCCAAAGACUUCUCCAUUUCAACUCGCACGUCCAUUCCUACAGUCAAACCCUACAUCAAAAGUUCUGAAAUGGCAAUUUCAAACAUCCCACUCUCCAACCACCACUUCCUGUCAAGUACUCCACUGAAACUAUCUUUUGACUUUAUUGAAACCUUUCAACUUUUAGUCUUCAUUGCUUACCAUUGUCUAGAGCUACUGCAUAUUUAUUCAGGUCAUAGGCUUUGGAAUUAGGAUGCCAGGUUAAUUUGUUGGGGGAGGCCACCAAGAUGUGGAUAUAUCAUUUAAAAAAUAAAUCUAGGUUCCAGAAUUCAUCUUGGUGGUUGGGAAAUGUGAGUGUGGGCUCUGCAGAGAAAUGGGCAUCAAUAGGUUGUUUUUACCAUAGCCAUGGAAGGAAAGCAGGAGAAGUGCUGGAAUCCAUCCCUCACAUAUUUCCCUCACCACUUAUCAUCUGUCUGCAGUGCCGUUUGGCUCAGUCACUUAGCACUUAAUCAGGUACUCUUUAAUUUUUCACAUCUGUCUGUCUGGAGCCUAGAAUGUGGUCAUAGAAAGCUCUUUGGGUCUGUAUUCAAAACAAUGGAAUUCAGACACAACUUACUUCCUGUAAGGUCUUGAGCAGGUCAUUUAACUGCACCUGAAAAUGAAAAUAACUGUCCCCACCUCAACCAGUUGUUGUAAGGAUUAAUGAGAUAAUAGAUAUAAAAGCAUUUGAUAAGCUUUAAAAUGUUUUAAGAACAUAAGGUCUACUAUCUUCCAGUGAUAAUUGAGAAUAGUAAUUGUGUGUUCCUUGUUUGCUUCAUUAGGCAAGGUGAUCAAAAAUAUUUGUCAAAUGAAUGCAUAAAUUAAUGAAUGAAUGAGAAGUGAGUGAGUGAAUGGACAAGUGAAAAAAUCAAUAAAUGCCUAAAUGCAAUCUAAGUCUC
rnacentral:lncRNA from 1 species